AGCGAACGCUGGCGGCAGGCCUAACACAUGCAAGUCGAACGAACUCUUCGGAGUUAGUGGCGGACGGGUGAGUAACACGUGGGAACGUGCCUUUUGGUUCGGAAUAACUCAGGGAAACUUGUGCUAAUACCGAAUGUGCCCUUCGGGGGAAAGAUUUAUCGCCAUUAGAGCGGCCCGCGUCUGAUUAGCUAGUUGGUGAGGUAACGGCUCACCAAGGCGACGAUCAGUAGCUGGUCUGAGAGGAUGACCAGCCACACUGGGACUGAGACAUGGCCCAGACUCCUACGGGAGGCAGCAGUGGGGAAUCUUGCGCAAUGGGCGAAAGCCUGACGCAGCCAUGCCGCGUGAAUGAUGAAGGUCUUAGGAUUGUAAAAUUCUUUCACCGGGGACGAUAAUGACGGUACCCGGAGAAGAAGCCCCGGCUAACUUCGUG
rnacentral:rRNA from 1 species